AUCCCAGUAUCAUUUCAUUUUUGUUACCGUUAAUAAACUAUAUGCAAAAAGAUACCCAGUAGCAACAUUACUAGCAUAAUUUUCUUCAUUGAGUUGUAAUGAAAAAUAAACAUUUUAUAAU